CAAAGGCAUGCCCCUAUUUCAGAAAAUAUCCAUUUAUUAUUUUAAUAAUUGCGAAUAAGCCACAAACUUGCUUAUUCCUAACAAAAAUAGUAAAUAGAGAUAAUAACAAACGGAUUAUUUGUAAAAUUAACAUUUUUUUUGCGUUUUUGCUAAUGUAUGCGUUUAUAAACAGGAUGGUAGACCACACACUAUAAUAGUACCAACUAAUGAAUACACAGUAUGAAUAGUACAGUCGGUUCGCUAAACUUAGUCUCAGACACAACUGGCUAGUGAUUUUAGUAAAUAAUUUUGACAAUUUGGUAAAAUUGGCAAAAAAAUAACUAAAUAGUUAGGGUUCUAGUUUACUGAAUGGGUAGACGGAUUACGGAUAUGAAAUUUAUACCAAUAAAUUCUGUUUCACUUACUGAUAAUUGUACAAUAAUUUUUUAUUGGGGGCGGGCGUUACUUUUCAUGUAAUUGCAAUUUAAAAUAUGUCUUAUUUUUAAAAAUCGCCGCCAUUUUCCGCCAUUAUAUACCAUGAAACAACAAGAAACGACAGGAAUGACAACCGUUUUAUAAACGCAAGAAGGAGAAUCCUAACAGUGUUGCCAUAGUUAUAUAAAAUAUGUUUUCUUAUGAAAAUUACAAUUUUUCAAUUCUUAAAUAUGUCAUUUUACUUAUUCUGACGCAUUUUUAACACAAAAUGACUGCUUUAUUACAAGGGUCAGGUUAGUUCUGGUUAGGUUUCGUUACGUUAGGUUAGAUUACAUCAAGUUUAUUAAUAUUAUAGUGAUUUAUGAUUAUAUUUUAAUAAAUAAAUUCUGUGGGAUUCCCAGAAUACACUUUCAAGGUUGGAAUGAAAUUUUAUGUAUUUCAUGGUUAUGUACUGUCACUGAUUUCGGGAAACCAUGUUGCCAUGUGAAUGACAAAAGAUAAUUUCACAUGAAAACAUCGAUUUUUGUCCAUUUAAGCGUACCAUUGAUUUGGAAUAUUUAUGCAAACCUCUAAAUUUGGCAACUGUUUUUGAAAAAUUGGUAGAUGCAUGCAUUGACGCAUUUUUUAAACAGUUUAUUGUUAGUUUUUAGUUUGUUAGGUCGGUUGUUUGUGCUGCGCCCUGGAUUUGGGCGUUGUCUGUUGCAUCAUAUACAAAUUUGUGAAAGUGAAGUUAGUUUAUCGGGUGGGUUGUGAUUGCGCUCAGCGGUCAAAUACCUCCUGCGGUUCUCUCAAUAUAAUACCCGUAAGUUAGGUUUGGACCGAAGGGUUAGGCCUUCCUCCUUUCAGACCGCCUGCGCCCAAUUGCAAUCUGCCCAGUUUAUCGUUAAAUAAAGGUGAAGUGAGACUAAAUGGUGUGUAGGUGUUACGAAAGUAAAUUUAAGUACAAUUAAGGUGUGGCUUUAAUACCUAUAUUCACAAAGAAAAGGCCUCUUUCGAAGCUAGUAAACUGCAGGCAGAGGAAAUAAAUAUGUUGGUGGCAACUUUUAUUACAUUUAAAGCCACGAAUUUGGCUUUGGACUCUCAAAUUGCAUCGAUCUAUAGCUGUUUUGCUAAGUCCAUAAAAAAAUUGGCAUUUUCAAGGUCUACCCUUAGAGUAAAUUUUUACCAUAGUUAGUAAUUUUGGCAAAAAUGGCCAAAAACAAAAAAAUUACCUACUAAAAUCACUAGCCAGUUGUGGCUAGGGAAACGACUAUACUAAUAAACAAUUUCUAAGCUGCUUUUUAUAAUAUUUUCUUUCCAGAAGAUCCUGCGAAGAAGGCAUGAAGUAUUGAUCAGAUUUGUUAAUAGAGCAGUAUGUUCAAAACAUUUUUUAGAAAAAGAUAUUGACAGAACUUCACUUUCAACCGUGAACUUCACUUUCAACCGUUUGAGAGACUGUGCUGUUCCAAUAGCUUAUAUCACACAGAAUCAGCUGAGAGAAGUGGUCUACAAAAAACCAGGAAGGAAAUGGAAUAUGUGGCUAUGAAAGGCAAAAGAAAGGUUUACAAAGCAAAUGUGACACAUUUUUUUAUAGGAAUAUCAGUAAAUUACAUUAAAAAAAUGUAUGAAAAAAUUUUUUGCAAUAAAAAUGUUUAUAUUUA